rfam:Synergistales bacterium 54_9 MPJ_scaffold_145, whole genome shotgun sequence.
CGGGACGUAGCGCAGUCUGGUAAGCGCACUUGACUGGGGGUCAAGGGGUCGGAGGUUCAAAUCCUCUCGUCCCGA